rnacentral:rRNA from 1 species
UACGGAGGGUGCAAGCGUUAAUCGGAAUUACUGGGCGUAAAGCGCACGCAGGUGGCUGAGUCAGUCGAUUGUGAAAGCCCUGGGCUUUAACCUGGGAAUUGCAGUCGAUACUACUCAGCUAGAGUAUGGGAGAGGGCAGUGGAAUUCCCGGUGUAGCGGUGAAAUGCGUAGAUAUCGGGAGGAACAUCAGUGGCGAAGGCGGCUGCCUGGCCCAAUACUGACACUCAGGUGCGACAGC